CCCUUAGAUGUUCUGGGCUGCACGCGCGCUACACUGAUGCACUCAACGAGUUUACGACCUUGCCCGAUAGGGCUGGGUAAUCUUUUUAAAAUGCAUCGUGAUGGGGAUAGAUUAUUGCAAUUAUUAAUCUUCAACGAGGAAUUCCUAGUAAGCGCGAGUCAUCAGCUCGUGCUGAUUACGUCCCCGCCCUUUGUACACACCGCCCGUCGCUCCUACCGAUUGAGUGCUCAGGUGAAUAAUUCGGACUGCAGCAAUGUUUGGAUCCCGAACGUUGCAGCGGAAAGUUUAGUGAACCUUAUCACUUAGAGGAAGGAGAAGUCGUAACA
rnacentral:rRNA from 1 species